UACAGGGGGGGGCAAGCGUUGUUCGGAAUUACUGGGCGUAAAGGGCUUGUAGGUGGCCAACUAAGUCACACGUGAAAUCCCCAGGCUUAACCUGGGAACUGCGUGUGAUACUGGAUGGCUUGAAUCCGGGAGAGGGAUGCGGAAUUCCAGGUGUAGCGGUGAAAUGCGUAGAUAUCUGGAGGAACACCGGUGGCGAAGGGCGGCAUCCUGGACCGGUAUUGACACUGAAAAGCGAAAGCCAGGGGAGCAAACGGG
rnacentral:rRNA from 1 species